rnacentral:rRNA from 1 species
CGGCACGGGUGAGUAACACGUAUGCAACCUGCCUGCCACAGCCGGAUAAUCGGGAGAAAUUCCGUCUAAUACGGCAUAAUGCAUCGACGGGACAUCCUGUUGGUGCCAAAGGUUAAUUCCGGUGGCGGAUGGGCAUGCGUCGCAUUAGUUAGUUGGCGGUGUAACGGACCACCAAGACGACGAUGCGUAGGGGUUCUGAGAGGAAGGUCCCCCACCACUGGUACUGAGACACGGACCAGACUCCUACGGAAGGCAGCAG